CCUAUUUUCUUGUAGUGGUAUUGUAUAUGGUCUCAUCCAGCACUGAGUAUCCAUAUGUUGUUCUAAUCCUGAUGAUGAUGUUGUAGCAUAAAGUGGACACCAUAUUCAAUUUGUCUUGAUGCUUUAUCUCUUGUGGUUCUUGUCUGAUGCACAUUGUUCUUUGCAGGGUUAUGAUGAUAUUUCCACGGAAAUAUACUGACCCUGAUGCGACAAAGGUGUCCAUUUUCCCUUUUUUAAACUUUUUUACUCUGUUUUUUGUUCUUCCUGUAGUUCCAGUUUCACAUUGCUGGUGUUUCAUGCAAUAUUCAUCGGAUCCUGCUUACAUGCCUUAUUAUUGAGUAACUUGAUUAGUAUUUCUGCCACUGUCCUAUCUCAGUAAACUGUUUGUUUUUUCAGUAGCUAAAAAAGAAAGUAAAUCUAUUAUAUCCUGGUAUUGUAGAAUUUCAGUCUCACAGAAGUUACUCUGUGUCCUGCUUUAGCUUGCAAACCUGAUGUCUGCUGUCUGUUCU
rnacentral:lncRNA from 1 species